GGCGAGUUAGACCUCCUGGCAUAACUCGGUCUUGAAAACCGGUAUGGCGGGUGACCGUCAUCGUGGGUUCGAAUCCCACACCCUCCG
rnacentral:tRNA from 2 species